rnacentral:rRNA from 1 species
UCUCUAAGCCACAGAAUAUCUGACUAAAUAGACCCGGUAUACUACCCGAUUAACGAACCAAGUUACCCCAGGGAUAACAGCGCAAUCCCCUUCCAGAGCCCUUAUCGACAAGGGGGUUUACGACCUCGAUGUUGGAUCAGGACAUCCUAAUGGUGCAACCGCUAUUAAGGGUUCGUUUGUUCAACGAUUAAAGU